rnacentral:tRNA from 7 species
GGCGAGGUAGCUCAGAUGGUUAGAGCGCAUGAUUCAUAAUCAUGAGGUCGCCGGAUCAUUCCCGGCUCUCGCUACAA